UACGUAGGGUGCAAGCGUUUAAUCGGAAUUACUGGGCGUAAAGCGUGCGCAGGCGGCUUUGCAAGACAGAUGUGAAAUCCCCGGGCUCAACCUGGGAACUGCAUUUGUGACUGCAAGGCUGGAGUACGGCAGAGGGGGAUGGAAUUCCGCGUGUAGCAGUGAAAUGCGUAGAUGAUGAGGAGACACCGAUGGCGAAGGCAAUCCCCUGGGCCUGUACUGACGCUCAUGCACGAAAGCGUGGGGAGCAAACAGG
rnacentral:rRNA from 1 species